UACGUAGGUGGCAAGCGUUGUCCGGAUUUACUGGGCGUAAAGAGCGCGCAGGCGGUUGAUUAAGUCGAAUGUGAAAGCCCCCGGCUCAACUGGGGAGGGUCAUUCGAUACUGAUCAACUUGAAGGCAGGAGAGGGAAGUGGAAUUCCGGGUGUAGUGGUGAAAUGCGUAGAUAUCCGGAGGAACACCAGUGGCGAAGGCGACUUCCUGGCCUGUUCUUGACGCUGAGGCGCGAAAGCUGGGGGAGCAAACGGG
rnacentral:rRNA from 1 species